AGACUUGGCGCUAGAUAAAGCGGAGCGGCGGGACCGCCCCCUCCCUUCCUGAGCCGCGGAGCCGCCAUGGACACGAGCCGCGUGCAGCCCAUCAAGCUGGCCAGGGUGACCAAGGUGCUGGGCCGGACCGGCUCCCAGGGGCAGUGCACGCAGGUGCGCGUGGAGUUCAUGGACGACACGAGCCGCUCCAUCAUCCGCAACGUGAAGGGCCCGGUGCGCGAGGGCGAUGUCCUCACCCUGCUCGAGUCCGAGCGCGAGGCCCGGCGGCUGCGUUGAGCCGGUGGGUGCCCCGCUCCCCGGUCCUGAGCCGGUGGGUGCCCCGCUCCCCGGUCCUGAGCCGGUGACGAAGACUUGUCCCGUGUACUCGGAGCCACCAGCGUGCAUCAUCUCAGCUGGAUGCAGGUCACAGAUGGAGAGGAGCAUGGCGUUUGUGUUGUUCACACAAUAAAGGUUUUUUUUUCCAAA